UGGGCGCGAGCCUGAACCAGCCAAGUAGCGUGAAGGAUGACUGCCCUAUGGGUUGUAAACUUCUUUUAUAAGGGAAUAAAGUGAGGCACGUGUGCCUUAUUGUAUGUACCUUAGGAAUAAGCACCGGCUAACUCCGUGCCAGCAGCCGCGGUAAUACGGAGGGUGCAAGCGUUACUCGGAAUCACUGGGCGUAAAGAGCACGUAGGCGGCCUUGCAAGUCAGAUGUGAAAUCCAACGGCUUAACCGUUGAACUGCAUUUGAAACUGCAAGGCUAGAGUAUGGGAGAGGUAGGUGGAAUUCUCGGUGUAGGGGUAAAAUCCGUAGAGAUCGAGAGGAAUACUCAUUGCGAAGGCGACCUGCUGGAACAUUACUGACGCUGAGGUGCGAAAGCGUGGGGAGCAAACA
rnacentral:rRNA from 1 species